GUUUGCUUUGGAAAGACAUAUGAUAAAAUUGAAAUAAUACAAAGAUUAGUUAUGGUACCUAGGCAUGGAUGACAUGCAAAUUUGUGAGAUACUGUAUUUUUAG
ensembl:snRNA U6 U6 spliceosomal RNA